rnacentral:rRNA from 1 species
GACGGAGGGCGCGAGCGUUGUUCGGAAUCACUGGGCGUAAAGCGCGCGCAGGCGGGCGUGUAAGUCGGAAGUGAAAUUCCGGGGCUCAACCCCGGAGCUGCUUCUGAUACUGCAUGUCUAGGGACCGGUAGAGGACGGUGGAAUUGCAGGUGUAGCGGUGGAAUGCGUAGAGAUCUGCAAGAACACCCGUGGCGAAGGCGGCCGACUGGGCCGGAUCCGACGCUGAGGCGCGAAAGCGUGGGGAACAAACAGG